UCNCUCUGUAGACCAGGCUGACCUCAACCU
rnacentral:piRNA from 1 species